CCAGUCAUUUGGUUUGCCUCCAGCAUCACCUUUUUUAUUUUACAUUUUUUGUAAUUAUCUCUCUGCCUUAUUUAAUCAGAUUAUACAUCAUCCCUUGUUAUUCAGCUGUUAACACUUUACUCACACCAUCUAAUACUUCUGGUCACUUGCAGAAACAUACUGAUCAACACUCCACUCACACAAUUUGUAUAAUCUUUUGAUCUCUUUGCUCUUGAUCUCUCUGCCCAUAAAUUUUGUUAUGCGUGCUUCCCUCUCACUUCACCUGAUGAGAGGGCUACACUCUGAAAGCUUGUGAUUUCAGAUAAACCUGUUGGACUAUAACCUGGUGUUGUUUGAUUUCUGACUUUUUGUAAAAGAACAAAGCAUGAAUGGUUUGGGAAAGAAAUUAGAGCUUGUGGCCCAUACAUUUUGACUGCAUAGCUACCAACGCUGGAGCAUUUAAAAUCAGGAAUUCUCCAGAGACCAGAAUUAGAAUACAAAUUUUGCAUAUAUUUUGAAAGACUGAAUUAUGCUAUUGAAACAUCAUUAUCUGUUCUUCAGGCAGCACCACAAGAAACAGAAAAUUGAUCAUAUUCAUUUUUUGUAGAUAUUGCAGCUGUGCUUACCUACAUGGCAGCAAUGCUUUUAUAAGUAAUUUAAUACUGAAAAGUAAUACACUUUAUGGCAGUCUUUCAUCUUAUACUUGUCAGGACAGGCCUCAAGAAUACCGGUUUAAGGGAAAAGCCAACAGUUUAAAACUGAGCCCACUGGUUAACUAAGCAAGUGGACUUUGGUAGAGAUUUUGCCUUGGCACUAGUCAUUGAUGUCUGGCAGUUAACGGCCAGGCUUUGUUUAAAGUUUAAACCCAGAUAAGUCGAUUCAUCAAAUCAUUUCUUAUGAACGAACCAAUGAAUGGCUGUCACUGAUUUUUGUUGAGUGGAAAUGCACAGCCAUCUUCUUUUUUACAUGCAAGUAUGCCACAUUGCAGUCCUCAUUGACAAUGCUAAAUUGGUUUUCAGUACUGUAUAGUGUUUUGCAUACUCAGGAUUGUUAAGGGCAUGUACACACAUUGCUCCUGUUUCAGCUCCACAAAAUAGAUAGUUCAUUUUCUCAGGGCAAUGACAAUAAAUUACCUGAUUUGAAAUUUUAAACAAAACCUUGCUCUUGACUAUCAAUCAUUAACUGGUGAUAAUGAUUAACUUAAUUAACUUUGCCAUGUAAAGUCCAGUCUCAAUUAACUUUCCAGCUAUCAUGAUUCCCUAGGUAGUGUACUGGAAAUCAAGUUCAACUCUUCCC